rnacentral:rRNA from 1 species
GUGGGGAAUAUUGGACAAUGGGGGGAACCCUGAUCCAGCCAUGCCGCGUGUGUGAAGAAGGCCUUUUGGUUGUAAAGCACUUUAAGCGAGGAGGAGGCUACCGAGAUUAAUACUCUUGGAUAGUGGACGUUACUCGCAGAAUAAGCACCGGCUAACUCUGUGCCAGCAGCCGCGGUAAUACAGAGGGUGCAAGCGUUAAUCGGAUUUACUGGGCGUAACGCGCGCGUAGGUGGCCAAUUAAGUCAAAUGUGAAAUCCCCGAGCUUAACUUGGGAAGUGCAUUCGAUACUGGUUGGCUAGAGUAUGGGAGAGGAUGGUAGAAUUCCAGGUGUAGCGGUGAAAUGCGUAGAGAUCUGGAGGAAUACCGAUGGCGAAGGCAGCCAUCUGGCCUAAUACUGACACUGAGGUGCGAAAGCAUGGGGAGCAAACAGGAUUAGAAACCCCGGUAGUCC